CAUGUACUCCCUCUGUUCCGAAUUACUUGUCGCAGAAAUGGAUGUAUCUAGAUGUAUUUUAGUUCUAAAUAUAUCUAUUUCUUCGGCGAGUAAUUUGGAACGAAGGGAGUAUAUC
rnacentral:pre_miRNA from 1 species